CGUGCCUAACACAUGCAAGUCGUACGAGAAAUCCCGAGCUUGCUUGGGAGAGUAAAGUGGCGCACGGGUGAGUAACGCGUGGGUAACCCACCUUCGAAUCUGGGAUAACUCCGCGAAAGCGGUGCUAAUACCGGAUAAGACCACAUUCCGUUCGCGGAAAGAGGUAAAAGCUGACCUCUCCAUGGAAGUUAGCGUUCGAGGACGGGCCCGCGUCCUAUCAGCUUGUUGGUGGGGUAAUGGCCUACCAAGGCUGCGACGGGUAGCUGGUCUGAGAGGAUGAUCAGCCACACUGGAACUGGAAUACGGUCCAGACUCCUACGGGAGGCAGCAGUGAGGAAUUUUGCGCAAUGGGGGAAACCCUGACGCAGCAACGCCGCGUGGGUGAAGAAGGCUUUCGAGUCGUAAAGCCCUGUCAGGUGGGAAGAAACUCUUCAGCACUAAUAAUGCUGAAGCCUGACGGUACCACCAGAGGAAGCACCGGCCAACUCCGUG
rnacentral:rRNA from 1 species